rnacentral:rRNA from 1 species
CCUACGGGUGGCAGCAGUGGGGAAUAUUGCACAAUGGGGGAAACCCUGAUGCAGCAACGCCGCGUGAGCGAUGACGGCCUUCGGGUUGUAAACCUCUUUCAGCUCCGACGAAGCGCAAGUGACGGUAGGAGUAGAAGAAGGACCGGCCAACUACGUGCCAGCAGCCGCGGUAAUACGUAGGGUCCGAGCGUUGUCCGGAAUUACUGGGCGUAAAGAGCUCGUAGGUGGUUUGUCGCGUUGUUCGUGAAAACUCACAGCUCAACUGUGGGCGUGCGGGCGAUACGGGCAGACUGGAGUACUGCAGGGGAGACUGGAAUUCCUGGUGUAGCGGUGGAAUGCGCAGAUAUCAGGAGGAACACCGGUGGCGAAGGCGGGUCUCUGGGCAGUAACUGACGCUGAGGAGCGAAAGCGUGGGGAGCGAACAGGAUUAGAUACCCCAGUAGUC